AGGCUGGCCUCAAACUAGUGGUGACCCUCCUGUAUCAGCCCUGCACUGUGGGGAACCACCUGGAUGAUGCUCCUUGAAAGAAGAGCAGUUAUCUCCAAUUUGGAUUGGGUCUCCUGCCUUCCAAGCCUCUUAUGCAGCUGUUGCUUUGUUCCACGUACUUUUGACUGCAGAGAAAGCACGCACAAAGAAAAAUCCAUUCCUAACAAGCGAUUAGGAAAGGAAGAAGUUGUGUGGAGAAAGAAGGAGGAUGUGGCUGUCAGGGUAAGCAUCCCGAAUUUGGCCUUCCACCAUGUUGAGCCACC